UGCAUCUGUCUACACUCUCGGUGCAAAA
rnacentral:sRNA from 1 species